rnacentral:lncRNA from 1 species
UUUUCGUUUGUUGGCUAACACUUUAGUCAAAACCAGUAUCUUUAAAUGGGUCCGUCUUUCCUAUGAUUACACAUAUUGCUUUUCAUUUGGAUUGACUAGAUUUACAAAGGCUUAGACAUGCUUCUAGUUUGUGCAUAGUAACAGCCUCAGAAAUUUGUUAAAAUCAAAUUUACUGACAUUUUCCGUUAUGUUUCCGAUCCAGUUGCCAGUUGAAUUAGAAGUGUAGAAUUACACACAUUUAAAUCAGAAAACAUUUGAAAUUGGCGUGUAUCCUUUCAGAGGAUUUCUUUUUACUAAACUACUUUCUUUCAAGUGGAUUCGUUCUUUCCAUGGAGACCUUUAAGUUUGCUAUAAGAGUACUUUCCUGCAGACUUUUGUUUACAGUGAUUUCCCUAGGCCAUUUCAGAGAUGAUAGUCUUAAGAAGGAACAGGCUACAAUCUCACUGGUAGCAUCAUCAAUGCCAGGACCAGGCACAAGAAUGGGAACUGGGCUGCCUAUAGUUGUUUACUAAGAUUUUAGCAUAGGCCGGCCUGCACUUUAGCUAAUAGCUCAAUGCAAGCCUCAGGAAUCAGACAGGUCAGCUAAUUAUUCCAGCUUGUGAUUUAAAUGCUAGCACUUUCUUUCAGGGGUUAAAAUAGUUGGCCACAAGUCCAGGCAUCCUUCAAUUUACCAUUACAGUUAUAUCUCUUUUCUAUCAGAAACAAAAAUGCCUGGUAUAUGUUUUUUCUGUCCCUUUCAGGUAUAGUAACUGGGCACUGAUUUAUUUGCAGUUUAUUAAUGUCAGCAGUACAUCAUAUAGUGAUAUGCUCUAAAAUGGCUCCACUCCAUCAACUCUCCUCUGAAAACAUAGUUGUCUAUUUUCUGCUCCUAUACCCAUAUGUUUUAAAGAAGGAUAAGCCAUUCUGUGACACCCUGGAUAAGCCUAAACCACCUACUAUCUGAGUAGUUCUGCUCAAGCCCAAAGGGCAGCUGCUUUGUUGUACAUUAUAAAUUGCAGCAUGGACCAGAACACACUCUCCUCUGCCUGGCGCUUAUUAAACCAGCAAAAGCACUUGGCAUGAUCACAGGAAAGAGCUUUAACUUGAAGAACAUUAUAGAGAAUUAGGACAAUUAUAGGCGUAUGUGGAUGUACUGAAAUCAUUAUCUUUUAAUGAAUGAUCCUUAAAGAUUUAUACAACUGAAAAAUUGCUAGAUUCCUUUUUUUCUUUUCCUCCCUGCUCUCAAUAGUGAAUUCACAAUGUCAAUGCUCAGUGUAAAAAUGGGGGAAUGAUUAGUGUUACUAGCAACGAACAUAAUGAGAACAAGGUAUUGAAUAAGGCAGAGAGUAUUUUUGUGUACAGUACAUUUGAUAACCCAGCCAUAAAAUAUUCUCCUGCUGAAUUCCUCUUUUGGCUUUAAAUGUAAUGCUAACCUGGCACAUUCAGCAGAAUUCACCUUUGAAAGCCACAGCCAUGCUUUCUGCUUCCACAAAAUAACGCAUUGAAGUGUUCUCGUGGGCUUGGCAAUCAGUUAAAAAAAAAACAUUCCCAGGGAAUAUGUAUAUAUAUAUAUAAAAAUUACCAAGUUGCUCAUUUUCUGCUCCUUUAGGAGAGUGUUUCAUUGGUUACACUCUGCUUCAGAUAUGAUGACAGGCUGCAUUUUCAUGUUUUUCAGUGACCUACUUUUUUAUGUACUUCACUUGCUUGUGGUGCUCAAACAAAAUACCUUUGUAAAAGAGCACUUUUUCAAACAAAGAACUUUGGUCAUUAAAUUUUUCAGAGAAUCCCACACCACAGAACUUCAGUGUAAUGAAAACCAUUAGACUGCAGACAUUUGAUGGUAAUAUUCAUAGCUAGAGAUGGACAGCAAAUUAGGCCUGCUGUGUUACAUGCAUUGUCCUGCUAGUGUGAGGCAUAUUAACGGAAUUCAACUCUGCAGUCAAUAGAUUUCUUUCCUCCUCUUAAAUGUAUAACUCACUGGUGGGCAACAGGGACAGCAGGAAGCAGAAGAAAAAUGGAGAAAGAAUCUAAUAAGUAUGCAUACUACAUUGUGAAUGCUUGUUAUCUGUGAUCAUUUGGUCAUUUUUAAGUUUAAAACUCAACAGGAAAUUUGUAGUUUUGUAUAAAAAAAAGAUUAGAAUUAGGUUAUACUUAAAAGAUACACAUAUUGAUUAUGAUUCUCAGAAAACUGUAAAUAGUUAUAUCGAUUUAAAAAACAUUGCCACUAACAGGAGAACUAAACAACUAUGUUAAAAUAACAUUAAAGCAGCUAAAACAUUUCACUAAAUGGCAGAAUAUUAUUAUUUGCUUUUCAUAAUUAAAAUAGAAAUAAAGGAAAUUCAGACUUUUCUUGUUCAAUUUCACUUAGCAACCAAUGAAAUUAUGUCUCAAAAGUUUCCCACAGAAUGGAUCAGUCAUGUAUUUUCAAAAUAAUAUAUUUUAAAUGUUUACAACUUUUGUUAAGUUUAAGUAAGUUUUUUGCAGCAGAGCAAAACUCACAUUCCUUAUAUCAAAACAGCAAUCUCUUACUUCCAAAGUUAUAUUCAUUCACCAAGAAUAGAGAUUUUGCCAUUUCUCCUCACUGUUAUUUCAGUAGUUUCAAGCCAGUUGUUUCUAACAGCAGUGUAUUUUCCUUAUUCAUCUUCUCGGAAAUGGUAAAAAUUUAACUGAUACUUCCAGAAAACCUCACAUGGUGUCUUGAGCAGUGUCUUCCCACACUUAUUCUUGGGCAAAGCUGCAGGCAGCCAAAAGGUAAUAUUAAUUAGGGAAAGAGAUAGAAAGCUUAGCUGUAAGAAAUAGUUUUCUGCUCUGCAAAAGUCUAAUAUGAAGUUUAAUGCCAAUUUCCAACUUUAAGUGUACUAUCUUAUUAAUGGUUCUUCCAUACUCCAUUAACCAUCCCUCUUACAGUUAAGCAUCGUGUAAACCAGAGUACAAACCCUUCGGGGUACAAGGCUACCCUAUGAUUUGUAUACUAUUCAGCAUACUGGGACUCAUGACUGGUUAGGAUUUACAGCCAGACCAGUGACGCAUU